CGUCGUGUGCCCCACGGCGGUGGGUGAGGGCGUGUGUCUGCUGAGUACACCUUUGGACCCCUCCCUCCCAGGUGCCAUGGCCAGUGGUCAGCGCAGAGGCGCCUCCGAGAAGCAGGGUCGGGGCAAUCCCGCCGAGGACGGAGGAGGAGGGUGCAGGGGCGUGGUGCAGCUGGGAAAGUCCUGGAGGGAGAUUCCUAACCUCCUCACUGGCCAGAUGAGGAAUCUGAGGCCUUGAAAGGACACCUAGCAGGGAGAGUGUGGCAGAACGCAGCCUCUGAAUCAGGACCUGAGAACCUAAUUCCAGGCAAGAUGAGGCCGCCCUAUGGUGGAGAAAGUACUGCUCUAGUCCCAGCUAUGCUGCUCCCUCUCUGGGGACCUGGGCCACAGAAUGUCACCUGGCAGGGCCUUAGCCUCCCUAUCCGUGGAACGGGGAUCCUGGGCCCUGUCUGCUCUAUCCACUUCACGGGACUGUUGGGACCCUCAAGUCGCCUCAGCCCAGCGGAAUCAGUUACGGACUCAUGCCAGGCCUCGAUGGGAAACUUGCACGCGGAGGAGCCUCGGGUACAAGCGUCCCUGGGAGAGGCCGCACUCGAAAGCAGUUUGUAAGCACCUCAUUGGGAUUACUAUGAGCCUGGGAGCAGCAACCACCACGUUCUGAGCCCUCAAGAUGAGGCCUCGGUUGGGCCUGUGGCCCCCAGCCUUCCCAGGGCCUCACCAGCAGCUCCUGAUCCGGCAGCUUGAAGGUCUGGACUCCUCCAUCUUUACCAGAGGGAUAAAUCCGUGGGUCCUGGUGGGAGUGACGGUGGCCAAUGGCUCUGGUGCCAGUGGGGAUGAGCCUGCCGGUCUCAGCUGAGUAUUUUGCUCCCUGCUCCCGCGGAGGCUCCUCCUUCUGCUGGGAGCAAAGUAGCUAGAGACUCCAGGCAGUGAGAGACAGAGAGAGAGAGAGAGAGAAAGAGAGAGAGAGAGAGAGAGAGAGGCUCAAGGAAGAAGCCAGAGCAGAAGAGAAGGAGGCCCAGUCACACCUCCAGGGCACCAUCACCUCCUGGAAUCCCAGCGUCACAGCGUUGCAGGGACCUGGGAGGAUGACCAGGCCAGCCCCACCCUGUUCUGGACCCCUCUCCCCAGCCAGGAGCCCAUCAGUUAAAGCCAAAGUUCUUCUUCCUGGAAUUUCUUGAAUGCUGGAGCCCCUGGUGGUCCUCUAAAGUCCUCAUACUUCCUCCUGGGUAGACCCUCCCUGCCCAACCCCCCCAAGCCCAUCAGAGAUUUGAAAGCAGUAUCCUGGGCCAAGGCCCCCGUCGCCUACCUUAAUACCUAGCUCAGCUGCCCCCAGGUCUUUCCCCCAGAGCUUGGCAUCCUUUCUUUGCCCUGGGAAAACCCUUCUGAGCCAGGCCUGUGGGUACAAGGCCUGGGACCUCCUACCCCUGCAACCCCAGUUGAGACUGGUAGUAUCUUUCUUCCCAUUUUAAAGGUAGGAAAAGUGAGACCCAGACAGUUUAGCUGAGUUGCAGUGAGCACUGCAGUGAGUUAGCUGCAAAGCAGGGAUGAGAACUCUGCUGCCCAAGACAAGGGCAGGGGGUGCCUGGGUGACUCAGUCGGUUGCUUUCAGCUCAGGUCAUGAUCUCAUGGUUCGUGAGACUGCGCCCCAUGUUAGGCUCUGCGCUGGUGGUAUGGAGCCUGCUUGGGAUUCUCUUCCUCCCUCUCUCUCUGCCCCUUCCACGCUGUUGUGCUCUCUCUCUCUCAAAAUAAAUAAAUAAACAUUAAAAAAAAAAAAAAAAAAGACAAGGGCAGGACCAGACUCUGUCCCCAAGGGCCAGGCCUGUCCUAAGUCCAAUUCCAACUACCUUCAAGCUGCCUCCCAAUUGCCUUUACUGGCUUACCAGCAAAUAGCACCCGUGAGGCCACCCCAUCCUGUUUGAAAUCCUUCGGUGGUCCUCCGCUCCUUAGGAGAUCUGACACUCCACUAAGUUGAGAAACUAAGAACAAACGCCUCUUCUGGCCCACAUUCAAAGUCGGCCCCUUCCCACCCUCCCCCCGAUGGCUGCCCACUUCAAUUCCCUGGACCUCAGCCCCAGUCUCUAAAGAUGUCCUGCAUUUCCCAGCUUCUGAGCGUUUGAGCCGCCUGCCCCCACGAGGAAUGCCUCCCCUGUCGAGUUCUAAACAUCCCACCUCUGUUAUGAACCCUUCUUAGACUUCUCCACCUAGCCACGAUGGACCCUCCCCCUUCCGCUGGUGCCACGCAGCCCCUCCUCCCGGGCCAACAGAGCGCCCCUCGUGAGCGCUGUCUCUGCACCCCAUUAGGUGGAAUCCACUCAGGAGGGAUUCCAAGGGACAGCCCCGUCGCACCCCUUCCCAGACAGCUCCUGUGUUCCGCACCCACCUCUUUGCUCUUCAGCUCGUUCUCGGUGAAGACGGCCACCCGAGAA